AUACGGUAGGGGGCUAGCGUUAUCCGGUAUUUACGUGGGCGUAAAGGGUGCGUAGGUGGUUUCUUAAGUCAGGAGUGAAAGGCUACGGCUCAACCGUAGUAAGCUCUUGAAACUGGGAAACUUGAGUGCAGGAGAGGAAAGUGGAAUUCCUAGUGUAGCGGUGAAAUGCGUAGAUAUUAGGAGGAACACCAGUAGCGAAGGCGGCUUUCUGGACUGUAACUGACACUGAGGCACGAAAGCGUGGGGAGC
rnacentral:rRNA from 1 species